CCUACGGGCGGCAGCAGUGGGGAAUAUUGCACAAUGGGGGAAACCCUGAUGCAGCGACGCCGCGUGAGUGAAGACGUAAUUCGUUAUGUAAAGCUCUAUCAGCAGGGAAGAAAAUGACGGUACCUGAGUAAGAAACCCCGGCUAACUACGUGCAAGCAGCCGCGGGAAUACGUAGGGGGCAAGCGUAAUCCGGAUUUACUGGGUGUAAAGGGAGCGUAGACGGCAGUGCAAGUCUGGAGUGAAAGGCGGGGGCUCAACCCCAGGAAUGCUCUGGAUACUGUACGGCUGGAGAGCAGGCGAGGUAAGCGGAAUUAGUAAUGUAGCGGUGAAAUGCGUAGAUAUUA
rnacentral:rRNA from 1 species